GCUCGCUUCAACUGUGCAUAUACUAAAAUUAGAAUGAUACAGAGAAAAUUAGCGUGGCCCCUGGGCAAGGAUGACACUUAAAAAAAUAUGGUUGU
rnacentral:snRNA from 1 species